rnacentral:rRNA from 1 species
UACGUAGGGUGCAAGCGUUAUCCGGAUUUAUUGGGCGUAGAGGGCUCGUAGGCGGUUCGUCGUGUCCGGUGUGAAAGUCCAUCGCUUAACGGUGGAUCCGCGCCGGGUACGGGCGGGCUUGAGUGCGGUAGGGGAGACUGGAAUUCCCGGUGUAACGGUGGAAUGUGUAGAUAUCGGGAAGAACACCAAUGGCGAAGGCAGGUCUCUGGGCCGUUACUGACGCUGAGGAGCGAAAGCGUGGGGAGCGAACAGG